rnacentral:misc_RNA from 1 species
AAAUUGAUUGAGGAUAGCAAGCGAGCAGCAGAAAGGGUUUUGUCCCCAUUAGAUGAUCAAAUGCUGGCACUGGGUUGGGCUGCGAAGAACAUAUUACUGACAACUGAGGAGCAGGCUAGAUACAGUUUUGUAGAUGAUUGAGCAAUCAAACAUCUGGGUAUACUACUGUAAUGUUAUAGGCGGCUCUGCCGCAGACCACAGG